UUUUUACGAGAGUUUGAUCCUGGCUCAGGAUGAACGCUGGCGGCGUGCUUAACACAUGCAAGUCGAACGAAGCACUUAAGUUUGAUUCUUCGGAU
rnacentral:rRNA from 1 species